rnacentral:lncRNA from 1 species
AAGGACCGAAGGGUGGGAGUUUCGCCCCCAUGGGCCGCAGGUCCUGAGGAUUAUACCACACCGUCUUGAUUGCCAUUUUAUUCGUGAGAUCCGAUCAGCCCAGGUGAUCUAUGUAAGAAUUGGACUAAAUGUGGAAAUCCACUUCUGGAAAAUGUCUGACAGCCACUCUUUACCACUGUUGCCUGCAACAGAGCUGGUCACGCAUCGCAAGGGAUUAGGACCAAAAUUGAGGCAUCCAGCACCCCGUGUUUCCCACCUGGGUGGAAAAGCGGAGGGAAGCGCCAGGGCGGAACUGGCUGCUGUGUCUCAAGGACUCUAGGAGAAGCCUCGGUCCCCAGGGCGGCAAAGGGGACCCGAGUGAGGCUUGAGGACUUAGAAAUGACAAUGGCGCCAGGGAGCGUCCCAGAUACCGGCUUCCAAGCGGCUAAAGCGGCUGAGGCGCGAAGAAGAAGCAGCUGCCUCGCUUCAGAUAGACGGGCACUUGCUGUCCCCUGCCGAGCCUGGAACAGGCUGCUCGCCGGGACCACGGCCUCCUACUGCCUCCUCUCACCACCUUCAAGAGACACCAUCUCCUAAAGACUCAAAGGUGAAAAGCAAAACCUGAACGCGGCCAUGAGCCGCAUCCAGGAAAAGAAACACCUACGACGGCUCUGCGCCUCCCCCCGCCCCAUUGCAUGCCUCCCUCCUGACACCCCUUCAAAGGCACACGGGGACACAGGUCCCCGCAGCCUCGUGGCCACUGCUUCUCAUCACGCUGGCUGCACAUCCCAGCCGCAGGAGCACCAAGUCAGACGGGGAAACAACCGCACGGCCCGGCCCUGCUGCUCAGGACAGGCUCAGCGCUGACAAGACUGGUGGUGGAGAGAAAUUGCCAAGAUGCUAAGAAACUUGAGAGGCCACCUCUGCAGCAGGACUGGGACGGGUGAGGGGAAAAGAACUUACUUUCAUUUUAUACUUUUUCCAUG